rnacentral:lncRNA from 1 species
GGGCACCAAUGGAAUUCGGUUCUCUAUACCACAGGAAUGUCACGGCUCCCUCCAAGAAGCUUUGUCCGUUAUCAGCGAAGAGACAAAAGCCCGUCUGGAUGCGGUUGAAGAGUCAAUGAAAGAUAUGAACGAAAAGGUUUCCACUGUAGCCCACAGCUUGCAGGAACAAAGCCGGUAUCUGCAUGCAGCCAACCAGCUACUCUUA